GCAACCAUCAGGUGGCCUUCUUAUCGUUGUCUUUGAUAUUCAUACCGUUGUCAAAGAUUUCGUCCCCAGUGGGAUUUUUGCGGGCACCGCUUUCGAGGAGUUUAUUUUGUUUUAUUUAUUUAUUUAUUUUUUUUUUUUUUUAUUGUUGGUUCACAAGAGGUGUGGUGGUAGCCGAGAAGAGACACAUGACUCGAUAGUGAAGUUCGGAUGAAGAGGAGAAGGUGAAGGAGCAACGGCAGUGCGAGAAGAAAGUAGUCAAGAUCGCAAGUGCGGAUAACAUAGGCGAUUUAUUUGCGACCUCGACGACGGUCGGACCGUCUCGUCGAUGGAGAAAGAUUCACGAAUGACGCCGUAACGGAGGGAGCCGGCUGGUGCACGGAUACACCGGUGCUCGAGAGGGACUCGCAUCUCACGCAUCGCCACGACUUGCGCUCACCAAAUCCAAAAAAAUAGCAUCGGCAACGGACAACGAGGAUUUUGCUUCGGCGAAUCGAGCCGGGGGCGGCUAGCCCUUUCGGCGAGCUCGAAGGAUGCAGCUCCCAGGCGGGAGCACGAGGAUUUCGCCGUCCCGAGUACCGGGCAUACACCUCGGCAUCAUAAAUGCCAACGACAUCAUAGACAAGUGCGAUUGGAGCGAUAAUAAGACAAAGAGUCGUAAGCUGGCAGCCCAGGGCACGGGGGUGGACAGGAGGGGGCUGUCGAUAGGCCGCUGUCAAGGGCCGGCCUGCACCGAGCGGUCGUUGGCCCCGUUUCAUUGGCGAAAGCCAAGGAUCGCCGAAUAGCCCGCUGCAGAAAGAGAGAAAGGAAGGAACGAUUGUCAUAAGUAUUAGGAUUGAAAAAUAUUCUUGAUUCGCGCGGAAAAACGAGGAGCGAGAGAUCAAGCGAAUCGCGCGGUGCAUGUAAGCAGACGAGGGAGAAUAAU